UUUAUGAUUUGUCAAUCCUUUGGGCUCUUUAUGUCUUUUCAGAUCAGUGCUGAAUUCAAAAUAAUCACCACAGUUCCCCUGCAAUCCAAGCAACUGUUGCUGAAUUGGCUGAUUUGUACAAGAUGCACCAUUUCUGAGGACUUCUGGCACAGUGGCCUGCACUGUUCAAAGUUCGCAAGAUCAGUGCUGAAUUGAAAAGAAUCACCAGUCCCACUGCAAUGGCCAGCACUGUUCGAAGUCCACAAGGUCAUGGAUGAAGUUGCCGUAGACGAAGCAAUUGAAGACAUCACAAUUGGAAUCUGCUCUGACAGAAGAUUGGGCAUCCCACCCUUUGGACAUUGUCAGUUUUAGUGUAUGUCUGUCACACACGAGACACCCAAUCGGAAAGGACUCUUUUUAUUUUUUUCAGCAACUAAAAAACAGCAGUUAUUUUUGUUUCUUUAAGUGAAAUGUACCUUUUUUCUAGAGAUCUAUUUGCUUGCAUGCACUUCCAGCUCCUUGCUGGUUUAAGAAUAGCACUUGAGUGUGCAUAUGUUUUGUACGUACUGUGUUGAUUUUGACCCAAACUAAAGACAAACAAAAUACCAAAACUAGACUUAAAUAAGACUGGGUAAUGACACAAAUGUGGUCACCAAAGAGGACAACCAAAUGAAUGGUGGACUGCCAGAUG